GUCCACGCCCUAACGAUGUCAACUAGGUGUUGGGUGGGUAAACCAUUUAGUACCGGAGCUAACGCGUGAAGUUGACCGCCUGGGGAGUACGGCCGCAAGGUUAAACUCAAAGGAAUUGACGGGGACCCGCACAAGCGGUGGAUGAUGUGGAUUAAUUCGAUGCAACGCGAAAACCUUACCUACCCUUGACAUGUCCAGAAGCCUGAAGAGAUUUGGGUGUGCCCGAAAGGGAACUGGAACACAGGUGCUGCAUGGCUGUCGU
rnacentral:rRNA from 1 species